rnacentral:lncRNA from 1 species
UGCGCGACUGACAUAAAGAUCAUAAAAUAUUUCCAUACACCAAAUAUAGAUGACCUAUGGCAUAUAGUAUUAGAUAAAAAGACCAAAACUCAAAAACUUAACUUUGACCACUGAACCAUGAAAAUGAGGUAAAGGUCACAUGACAUCUGCCCGCUAGAUAGAUACACCUUACAAUAAUUCCAUACAACAAAUAUAGUAGACCUUUUGCAUAUAGUAUGAGAAAAACAGACCAAAACACAAAAAUUUAACUAUAACCACUGAACCAUGAAAAUGAGGUCAAGGUCAGAUGACACCUGCCAGUUGGACAUGUACACCUUACAGUCCUUCCAUACACCGAAUAUACUAGC